CACGUAGGGACCAAGCGUUGUCCGGAUUUAUUGGGCGUAAAGAGCUCGUAGGCGGUCGUGUAAGUCGGGUGUGAAAUCUCCAGGCUCAACUUGGAGGGGCCACCCGAUACUGCUCGACUCGAGUCCGGUAGGGGAGUGGGGAAUUCCUGGUGUAGCGGUGAAAUUCGUAGAUAUUAGGAAGAACACCGGUGGCGAAGGCGGCCCACUGGAUCGGUACUGACGCUGAGGUGCGAAAGCGUGGGGAGCAAACAGG
rnacentral:rRNA from 1 species